CGUGCAAGUCGACUUGCCGCUGUCUCGAACCCGAUUGCUAUCGGGACGGGAGAGAGGAAAGUCCGGGCAACGUAGAGCGCCAUACUUCCUAACGGGAAGGACUUCGGCCGGAGACAGCCGAAGGACAGAAAGUGCCACAGAAACAAACCGCCACUCAACACAGGGCUUGUCCCUGAGCCUGUUGAAGGGUAAGGGUGAAAAGGUGGGGUAAGAGCCCACCGCUCCGAUGGUGACAAAGGAGGCAAGGCAAACCUUAUGGGUUGAAAGAUCAAAUAGGUUCCGCUCCGGAUGCAAAUCUGGGAAAGGCUGCUCGUCUUUAUGCGGAACGGGUAGAUCGAUGGAUCCCGAUCGCGAGAUCGGGGCUAGAUAAAUGGCAAGUAUCUUCCAAAACAUUUGGAAGAGACAGGACCCGGCUUACAGACUUGCACUUUUU
rnacentral:RNase_P_RNA from 1 species